rnacentral:rRNA from 1 species
UGGGGAAUAUUGCGCAAUGGGCGAAAGCCUGACGCAGCGACGCCGCGUGAGGGAUGAAGGUUUUCGGAUCGUAAACCUCUGUCAGAAGGGAAGAAACCGCACUGUGCUAAUCAGCAGUGCCUUGACGGUACCUUCAAAGGAAGCACCGGCUAACUCCGUGCCAGCAGCCGCGGUAAUACGGAGGGUGCAAGCGUUAAUCGGAAUUACUGGGCGUAAAGCGCACGUAGGCUGCUUUGUAAGUCAGGGGUGAAAUCCCACGGCUCAACCGUGGAACUGCCUUUGAUACUGCUUAGCUUGAAUCCGGGAGAGGGUGGCGGAAUUCCAGGUGUAGGAGUGAAAUCCGUAGAUAUCUGGAGGAACAUCAGUGGCGAAGGCGGCCACCUGGUCCGGUAUUGACGCUGAGGUGCGAAAGCGUGGGGAGCAAACAGG